UACGGAGGGUGCAAGCGUUAUCCGGAUUUACUGGGUUUAAAGGGUGCGUAGGUGGGUUGGGAAGUCAGUGGUGAAAUACUUUCGCUUAACGAAGGAACUGCCAUUGAUACUAUCAAUCUUGAAUGUAGUGGAGGUAGGCGGAAUGCGUCAUGUAGCGGUGAAAUGCUUAGAUAUGACGCAGAACACCAAUUGCGAAGGCAGCUUGCUACACUACUAUUGACACUGAGGCACGAAAGCGUGGGGAGCGAAUGGG
rnacentral:rRNA from 1 species